rnacentral:rRNA from 1 species
GCAGUCGAGCGGACCUUUUAAAAGCUUGCGUUUUGAAAGGUCAGCGGCGGACGGGUGAGUAACACGUGGGCAACCUGCCUGUAAGACUGGGAUAACUUCGGGAAACCGGAGCUAAUACCGGAUAAUAUAAGGAACCUCCUGGUUCUUUAUUGAAAGAUGGUUUCGGCUAUCACUUACAGAUGGGCCCGCGGCGCAUUAGCUAGUUGGUGAGGUAACGGCUCACCAAGGCGACGAUGCGUAGCCGACCUGAGAGGGUGAUCGGCCACACUGGGACUGAGACACGGCCCAGACUCCUACGGGAGGCAGCAGUAGGGAAUCUUCCACAAUGGACGAAAGUCUGAUGGAGCAACGCCGCGUGAGCGAUGAAGGCCUUCGGGUCGUAAAGCUCUGUUGUUAGGGAAGAACAAGUGCGAGAGUAACUGCUCGCACCUUGACGGUACCUAACCAGAAAGCCACGGCUAACUACGUGCCAGCAGCCGCGGUAAUACGUAGGUGGCAAGCGUUGUCCGGAAUUAUUGGGCGUAAAGCGCGCGCAGGUGGUCCUUUAAGUCUGAUGUGAAAGCCCACGGCUCAACCGUGGAGGGUCAUUGGAAA